UUUGCCCUCAUUAAUAUAGGCUGGAAACUGAGCCCUGUCCUCCAGAGAUGGAAACACAUUUCUUUCCAUACGGUUGGAUGCUUGGCCUCAUUCUCUGCAGGGAUUGCCCUUGAGUAUUGUUUUCUGGAUCUUUCUGUGGUUGCCUGGACUACCAAGGACAUUGAGGCAGGUCUAUGAUUGUCCAGGGAAGACUGAGAGGCUGGAGCAACUGCCCCCUCGAGUGAUAAGGACAAUACCCCUGUUGGAACUGACAGCUCCAGCUCAUCUUCCGAUUCUUCCAUGAGCUCACUUGUAAAAAUGGUGUGCAGGCACAACACAGCAGGCUAAUUUGUCGUGUUGGAACCACAUAGGAGCCAUGCUUUGAGGUGGAGUUUCUCCGGAUUUGGGUGGAGAGUCCGGCCUCUGUUCUGUGAGAGGAGACCUGCCCACAAGGGAAGAGCUCAUGGAGCGUACAUUGCCAGGUGCAACAGUAGGUAGUCCAGGAUUGAGGAAAGAGGCAAGUGGGUUGGAGAAAAAUUGUGUCAAUUACACCAAAGAUUAUAUCUUCUCCAUUUCUGAAGCUGGUGGUUCCAGUGGUCUACAGAAGCUGGAAAAUUGACCAGGGUGAGACGUCUGUGCCAACUGGGACCUGCUAAGAUUUCUCUUAUUCAAAGGUGCUGUGCAAACACAAAAACAAUGCAUCUGCCUCAAAGAACUUAGCCUCAAAAGGAACAACAAAGACAGACAAAGAGGGAGAUGACAAAAGAACUUUAUCUCCAGACAAGUUUCUUAUAAGGCUCAAGUGAAGCAGUGACAGGAGGUGGUGCCUGGAUGUACAGGCAUAAUAUUAUGCCAGUGGCCCAGAGGCAAGUGGCCAGUUCCUCGUAGAAGUUUGUUGCCAGACCUCAGCAAUGAGUCAACUCGAAGUUACCAUGAAAAGACAGACACACUCUGGAGGCAGCAGAUGCCCUCCUAUGAUCAUUGGCCAGGGAUAAGGCAUGUUAACAGAUCUACUUACACCUCAGGCAAAACAAUGUGGGGAUUUUGUAAAGGGGUAUGACAAAGACUAGCGGUGGAGUAGGGUCCUCAUUCCAGGAUUAAUGGUAACCAGGUCUGAGAUGAGAAAGCAGAGGGUCUAUGACAUGGAGCCGCAAGGCCUUCACAGGUGAACAAGCCCACCAGAGGGGUAAAACAUCUGGUAGUUAAAAUAACAUGAGGAAAAGGCUGGCAAUUGCCCAUAUGAAAUUGCAUAUUCAAUACCUGAGUCAUAUAAGAGAGGAAGAGGUGGUACACGUCUCCAGCUGGAGCAUUAAUAGGAUUCUGGCUGCUAUUAGGAAAGAAACUAUUAGUCUGGGAAUCUUUCUCAAGUGUGAGGGAGGCAACCAAGCAAACUGUUGGCACCUCGUUGUGACAGGUGCCAAGUUCAGACAUUUAUUCAAUAGGGUGUCAGUUUCCCUGAUAAACCAGAAUUGGAAGUGGAUUAGGAGAAGGCAUCUCCUAAAAAAGGUAGAGAAUGGGGUUGAGACUCCUAAUGACUGGUACAAAGAGAUAACGCCUUCUGCCCCACCCUUAUAAUCCUAAAACAGGAGAGGGCAGUAGGGGGGGUCUCAGUAACACUGCUAGAACCAGGUGUGACAGAUAUACAAUUUCCUGCAAUAUCCAUGCGAGAUCUUAUUAUAUUACUGUGGCUGCAUGGUACCUAAACCACCGAGGGGAGAAGGAGGCAGAUAUGAUAGAUGUGAAACAUGAGCGUUAAAGCAACUAUACUGAAAAAAAGUACCAGACUAGUAUAAACUCUUGGGACAAUAAGUGUUAAGUGGAUUUCCUGGAGAAUUCCUAGAGAGAGGUUAAUGUAAGUUCCCCAACUCCAUAAUGCAAAAAACAGCCUUUGAAGAAACAUCCUGAAGAUGUCCUUUGUCUGCUGAUUACCUGUUACAGAAGGCCAAAAUCAAAAGCCCGAGCUGUGUAAAGAAACAGUUGAUCCGCUAAGCCUGCAUUCUGGUUCUGGAUCAAAGAUGGAAGAACUUGUAACCACAAGGGAAACCCAGUUGUGGAUUUUAAAGGACUAAAACCUACCAGAGCUCUAAGCUGUAGUUAGGUGGGAUGACCUCUGGUAAUCUUUUUAGCAUGCAUGUAGGUUCUUUUAUUAUUUUAAUUUGUCUUCCCUGUAUUGCUUUUACCUUAAUAAAUGUACUUGCUUAGCAGAAGCUGUGUGGGAACUUAUAACUGCAGGCAAUACACUGGUCAUAGUUCUUAGAGAGAAAGCAAAGCACAAGCACUAGUCUUUUUAGUCAGUCUGGCUUGCUGAGGAUCUCAGCAUAAGGCAGAGAGAUAUGCAUCCCUAAAUAUCCAUAGAGAGGAAGGAGCAGACUGCCCAAGAGAGGCGACAGCUGGGAGCCGGAAGCCUAAAGCAAGUUUCCUUGGUGGACAAAGAAGAAGGA